AUAAAUGCUGAUUAAUUAAGUGAGCUUGGUUAUAGCUGUUUUAAUUAGCAGGUAAUCAGAUUUAGAUAUGCCCAGCUUUGAGCAAAUCCUGAAUAAAGAGCAUUAACAGUAGGUUUCAGGGUUAUUUUAGGAAUAGCAAAAUAGAAAUCCGGAUUUGACUGAGUAUUAUGACCAGUAGGACCCCAAUGUGCUUUAACUUGAAUAAAUUAGUAGUAGGGGUCCACUAGGUAAUGAGAAUGUUUGACUGCUUUUGGUUGAUUGAUAAUUAGGAAUAGUAGCGUAAUAAUAAAAGUGUAAAAAGAAGAAUAGAAGAGCAUAUUUGGGAGGGGGGCUGUUAUUAAAGUAAAGAUUAAGUGGGGGAGUAAUAAUGAAAGUGUUGUAAAAAUAAUUAAAAGGGAAAAGGGGAGAGGUCUUGUGGGAUCGAUAAAUAAGAGGCAUUUGGUUGAUGGAGGGAUCAGAUUUUAGAGAACAAAAAACUUGAGAAAAGAGAGUUAAGUUAAAACUAUUAGCUUUCUAAUACAAAGAGUUCAGUGAGUCUAGAGUGGAAAUAGACUAACUUUCAAUCUGAAAGAGUGAGUAAUUUGAGAAUUCAGAAAUUAAAGUUAGCCCCUUUUGUCAUCAAAAAAUCAUUUUUAGUUCGUGAUUUGAAGCUACAAGCUUCUGUUUGGAGUGUGUAUUAUUUUUUUUGGAAGUUCUUGUUCAAUUCCAAGCUUGAUUGAGAUUAUUUAGCUGCCUGCGUUUGAACAUUUUGGUUUGGCCAUCUCGAAUUUGGUUGUUCCCGGAUUUUACUGGUUUUCAAUCUAUUCUGAAUUGAGCGCGGCACUGCUGGUUGCUUUCUGCCUAUCGUUGUUGUUGAUGUGUUGUUGUUACUGCACCUACUGAUCCUUUUCUUCUCUCUUCCAUUUUUCUGUUUCCAGGUACAUAUUCUACAACCUUCAAGCUAUGGAAAUAAAGUGAUAAUAUUACCCGAAGUAGACUUGAAAAUUUUUGUUAUCUUUUAUUUAAUUUCGAGGUGUAAACCAAUAGCCUAUUUGAUAUUACAUGUUGUAUACCGGAAUGAUUCUAAAUGUAAUGGACCUUCAAUAUAAGGUUAUUCACUUAGCUUGUGAAGCUCUUAGGAAUGUGGAAAUGUGAGUAUGUGAGUUUUUUCCUCUUGAAUAUUAUUGGUAAUGACCCAUAUUAAGUUAGUCAAUAGUUUCUGUUAGUCGAAUGAUUUACGUGUUUUCUUGAAUCUAUCCAAAUGCCUAAAACUAGAAUCAUAGUUAACCCUGCUUAUGUACCUUAAAAUAAUUCGUUUGCAGCCAUGUGAUUUCUAAGGUUCAAAAACAAUAAAUGGC
rnacentral:lncRNA from 1 species